rnacentral:rRNA from 1 species
AACCUGGUUGAUCCUGCCAGUAGUCAUAUGCUUGUCUCAAAGAUUAAGCCAUGCAUGUCUCAGUAUAAGCUUCUAUACGGCGAAACUGCGAAUGGCUCAUUAAAACAGUUAUAGUUUAUUUGAUGGUCAACAAUUACAUGGAUAACCGUGGUAAUUCUAAAGCUAAUACAUGCGCCCAAACCCAACUUCGUGGAGGGGU